ensembl:lncRNA
AGCAGUGAUUGAGCACCUGGUGGAAGGCAGGGCCAACCCAGGGGAGCUCAGGUGCAUGCAAUGUACCUGAGUGACUGGAAGGGUGGAGCCAGGAUGCACCCCUUCCCAGACCUCAUUUAGGGGUUGACAGUGGAGGGCUGACCUAGUUGAGUUUGCAGGAUCCUAAGGGUUUUGUCUGGAGCUAAAGCAAAUCCCAUUUAGGACCAAGGAAAUACAUCCUUUCAAGAGACCAAGUGAAACUGCCCACAGACAGAGGUCUCUUCUCCCUCGCUUCCAUGCCCACCCCUUGUCUUGGUGCAGCUGUGGUGAUGUUUUACUUGGGCUGGUUGUUAACGCUGAUGUUAAAGACAUCCCUGAUGGCACAACGACAAGGCUGGGUGUUAGGGUUAAUGCUGGGUGUUUUUUGUCCUUGUGCGUCUGACAGUACUAUGCGGGAGCUUUGGGCUUCGUAUGCAGAGCCCUUGAGACCAGAAAGUUACAAAAGCAUCCUUGGGGACCAGCUGCUGGGUGUGAUUUUUCUGUCGACUGUUGGCCUUCCAGAUGUAGGCUCUGCCCAUCUGCCCCAGCUUGCAAAAAUACUCCACCUUGGCAUCAGUGCCAGUGUUCCACUGUGGUGGGGGGAUCUCAUUGCUCCCUUCCUGCUGGAAUCAACUGCAAUUCAAGACCACCCCAGGCUCAGUGAUGACUCGAUCGUGACAUUUGAUCUCCUGGGGCUCCCUUGAGGAUGGUUCUUGCUCCUUCAGUUCCUGUAGGUUACCUGAUGCAGAAAAAGUACUAUUUAGUGCCCAUAGCUAAUGCAUCAUGAUGACAAAAGAGCCCAAGUGUAGUUGGCUGCAAGCCUGCCCACAGCUUUGCAGGGAUAAGAGGUAGAAGAUCAGUCUACCACUUGUUUAGAGCCUCAGGGUGCUGCUUCAUUCCCAUGCAUCACCAAGUGAUUGGCAGAGAUCCAUACGGACAUCCAUCUACCGCACUGGGCUUCAUCUCAUGAGGGAGCCAAAUGUGGCAUUGCCUUACCUCAAUAGCAAGAACUCACAUUUGGGUAGGCUGGCAUGGCUGGUCUGGCAGGCCCAUCUGUGCAUAAAGGUGGUAUUUUAUUAUUAUAACUAUUAGUGACCAAAAGCCUGCCGUGGAAGUAGGGGUUGGUCAAAGGAUGUCAUCCUUCCACUUGGGACAAUUGCCCACAGCAAGCAGCCUUUGCAUCGCGGCAGAGCAGAGAUGUCUGUGCUGGAUCUAACCUGGGAUCUAACGUGCCUUGCUGGGGUCUCCAUUCUGCACAGUAUGUACAUUGCUGCCGUCUUCUCCUUUUGAAGAUAUUUUUUAAUGUCUUAAAAAAAAAAAAAAGAUUACUUUGUUACAAUCAUUCAGCAAAGGGUUUCUGCGCCUGUAGAAAAUAUUAAUAGACUAUUAUGAGGUCCUACAACUAAUUUUUCCACACAUAUCAUCUGUCUUUGCAUGGUUAUUAAACUCCAACAAUAUUUCAUGCAAUGCUUUCCUGCUAAAUUAAUUUGGUUUCUUCUUCUCCUGCUUCUUUUUUUUUUUCCUCCUUCCACAACCUUUAAAAUUAAAUUGAAUCUUCAUAAUUAUGGCUUUUUUGUUGUUCCUCAUAUCUUUUCCUUUUCAAUUUUCCUAUCAAAGUGGCUAUACAGUUUAAUAAAGAUGUAAAGAAACAGAAAUGAAAGUGUAAGGGAUAGGAAGGGCUGUGUUGGGAUCAGAGACUGGGGGCUCUGGGAGGACUGGUACGUUCUGGUAAGGGUGGCAUAGAGGUGAGAACAGAGUUGGGUGGCACCUUGCUAGGUUGGGUCCAUCCUAUACUGAAAAUGAUGUUUCUGUAAUUAUUUGUAGCAUGGG